rnacentral:tRNA from 1 species
GCUGGCUGUGGGGCGCGGCCGGCUUCGGUUCGCUGCUGUCGAGCCUGUUCCUGGCCCAGCACCAGGACCCGGCGC